GGUGUAGUAGUGGUUUGACUAUAGACUAUGACUCUGGAGACUAGAGUUCGAUUCCCUGCACAGCCA